AUCAGUUCCUCGCCACACCAUCACAAUAGAAUAGAAUAGAGGGCUUUACUUAGACCAAAGUUUUGGGUUACUGCGUAAUCUUCAAUAUCUGAUUUAGUGGGCUGAUCAUUUCAUGUUUUUGAUUAUUGUCCAUUUAAAAAGUGCUUACUAAACAUCUGUAUAUGAUUUUUUUUACUCGUAAUUUUAAGACUCUUUACAUUAAGAAUAGAUUGUCAGGUUGCAUUCGGAUGUUGCAACGGCAUCAGGCUGCUACCUCGCCUUUUUCUCUAGUUCGGGGUAUUAAGCAAUUUUGUGCUCAAACUAUGCAGGUGGAAAUUCGCCAAAUACCUCGGGAAGCAAAUCAGAUAGCGAAUAUGAUGGCUAAGUUAGCCGGAAACGGACAGCAUGAGUUGCUUGUUUAUAAUUCGGCGCCGCUGGCGGUGUUGCAUUUGUUGGGGUCUCCAAGGCGUUGGUCUCCCCCUCAACUUCGUUUGAUAAAGUUAGCUUUGACGUGGGGUUUAAAGACAAUUUAAAACAAUCAAGAUCAUGUAUCAUUAUUGGGAACAGUGAUGGUUUAAUAUUAGGGUCAACAACACCGGUGAACAAGAAUAUACCUGAAGCUUUUUCAACUAAAGUCCUCACUUGCGUCUAGGCCAUUCAGUUCGCUGAAGACAUGGGUUUCCAAUCGGGAAAAUUGAAGGAGAUGCACACAUGAUUAUUAGGAGACUCAUAAAUGCCCAAACAGACUGAUCAGUUAUCGGCACUUAUAUUGUUGAUGGGAAGCAAGUUGCGGCUUGUUUUGGUGCUUUUCGGUUUAGAUUUUGCAGCAAGAACAUCAACCUUGUGGCGCAUCAGCAGGCCACCAAAGGCUUUGAUUUUAACGAGAAUAGAUAUUGGGUGGAGGAGCUAGGGGAAUUCGACUAGGUUGCAGCAAGAAACGAUCGCUAGUGGGUUGUAGUUCUUGAGGUGAUUUUCUCUCUUUUCAAUAAAGGCCAGUUUUUAUUAAAAAAACAAUAAUAUACAAUUAUAUUUGAUUCCUCUAAAUAUUUUAAAUUAAGUCUUAGUUAAAAGAUUAAUCCAAUGCAAUAAAUUUUGUAAUA